rnacentral:rRNA from 1 species
UACGGGGGGGGCAAGCGUUGUUCGGAAUUACUGGGCGUAAAGGGCUCGUAGGUGGCCAACUAAGUCGGACGUGAAAUCCCUCGGCUUAACCGGGGAACUGCGUCCGAUACUGGUUGGCUUGAGUUUGGGAGAGGGAUGCGGAAUUCCAGGUGUAGCGGUGAAAUGCGCAGAUAUCAGGAAGAACACCUAUGGCGAAGGCAGCUCUCUGGGACGGUACUGACGCUGAGACGCGAAAGCGUGGGGAGCGAACAGG